ensembl:lncRNA novel transcript, antisense to CXCL5
ACAGAGAAUAAAGACCUUGUGAAGUCUAUGGUCUCCCUAGAUCAGAUUUAGAAACCACAAAGAUCAAAGUGACAAGUACCCGUCCAAAAUUUUCUGGAUGACUUUCUUUAGAAAAGGGGCUUCUGGAUCAAGACAAAUUUCCUUCCCGUUCUUCAGGGAGGCUCUGAAGGAAAGAAAAAGAAGAUACACUCAUGAGAUACCAAGGUUGAAGACCCAGGCUGCGGGAUUUCUCUCUUGCCAAGGUCACAGCGGACACAGCAGCACAGAACUUACACCACUUCCACCUUGGAGCACUGUGGGCCUAUGGCGAACACUUGCAGAUUACUGAUCAUUUUGGGAUGAACUCCUUGCGUGGUCUGUAAACAAACGCAACGCAGCUCUCUCAACACAGCAGCGGCAGGACCAGCUGGGGAAGAAAGAGAGACACCCUUUAUAGGGCAGGUUGCUGGGAGAGUUCCCUGGAACGCAGCGACCCCGCAGAGGCUGGGAUGCACCUCUGUGCCCGAGUGCGAGUGCGUCCCGCGCGCCAUGCGCUCUCACCGCUGGCGAUGGGCCCUGGCUGCGUCAGCAGCAGCAGCAGCACCAACAGCGCGCACAAGGAGCUCGAAGGACCGGGGACACGGGCCGCGCGGCUGGACAGGAGGCUCAUAGUGGUCAAGAGAGCGCUGCGAGCGGUCGCGGGUUCCUGAACUGGGUGGAGGAGCGGAGAUUGGAGGAGCGAAGAUUGGAGGAUCCGGAGCACUGUGGCUUCCUCGUGCCUUCUGCACUCCUUUUAUCUACACUCAUCUCUCCCCACUGACAGGAAACUCAAGCUUUGGGAUGCUGGGGAAAUUCCCUGAACUCAUGGGGCAGUGUGGAAAGAAGAGGCAGGUCAUUCUAGGUUUCUUGAAUGACUUUAUGAAUCUCUGGACUUCAACCAGCUUUGGAAGCCAAGAUAACAUGAUAACAAGAGACCCUUGUCUCUUGCCACUUGAAGUCAGUGGCCUGAAAGGACCACUGAAUUUUGUUAACUCCCCUACAGAUCACCUACUUUGAAAAUCCAUGCUUUUUCCAUUCAUUCUCUUCUCCAGAGGAAAUUGCUGUUCUGAUUUUUAGUUUUGCCUACUCUUGAACUUUUUAAAAACGGAAUCAUCCAAUGUGUACUCUUUUAUGCCUGGCUUUUUUUUGCUCAACUUAAUGUCUGUGAGAUUCACACAUGUUAUUGUGAAUAUUAGUAGUAUACUUUGUAUUCAAUUAAAUAUUCAUUGAAUAAUUCAAAUUAAGCAUUCAAUUGUAGAAAUAUAUGCAGGUUUAUUUAUUCAUUCAUCUGUUGUUGGACAGUUGGGUCAUUUUCAAUAGUUUGACUAUUAUGAAGUGGCUGUAAACAUUAUUAUAUAAGUCUUUUUGCACAUCAUAGGAAAAGAUUGCCAUAAAAUUAUUGUCACUCUUCCUAUUGAGAUGUGGCACCUAUGUUUCAUACCCGUGAAUCUGAACUGGCCCUGUGGCUGGUUUUGAUCAAUAUAAUUUGGCAGAACUGAUGCUGUGUAACUUGUGCAAGGAUAUCUACAGCUUCCACCUUGGUCUUUUGGAAUGAUUCUUCUUGGAACCCAACCCCUGUGCUUUGAGAAGCCUGAGCUAUGUGUAGAGGCCGUAUGGAAGAGAACCAAGGCACUCCAGCUGAUGGGCCUCACUGGGCUCCCAGCUGAGAGCCAGCACCAACCUGCAACCGUGUAAGCAAUCGUCUUGUACUUUCCAACCUAGUCAAAUUUCAGAUGUCUGCAACUCCAGCCACAUGGAGCAAAAGAUUCACAGAGAUGAGUCCAGUCCCCUAUCAACCCAGAUA